rnacentral:rRNA from 1 species
AACGAACGUUCGCGGCGCGCCUAACACAUGCAAGUCGAGCGAGAAAGGGCUUCGGCCCCGGUACAGCGGCGCACGGGUGAGUAACACGUAGGCAAUCUGCCCCUGAGUGGGGGAUAACCUUCCGAAAGGAGGGCUAAUACCGCAUGAGACCACGACCCCGCGAGGGGAUGAGGUCAAAGCCGGCCACUUCAUGAAAGCUGGCGCUUGGGGAUGAGCCGGCGGCCCAUCAGCUAGUUGGUAGGGUAAUGGCCUACCAAGGCAUAGACGGAUAGCUGGGCUGAGAGGAGGACCAGCCACCAUGGAAGUGAGACACGGUCCAGACUCCUACGGGAGGCAGCAGUGGGGAAUCUUGCGCAAUGGGCGAAAGCCUGACGCAGCGACGCCGCGUGAGUGAUGAAGGCCUUCGGGUUGUAAAGCUCUGUGGAGGGAGACGAAUAAGGCAUGGCUAACAUCCAUGUUGAUGACGGUAUCCCUUUAGCAAGCACCGGCUAACUCUGUGCCAGCCGCCGCCGUAACAC